rnacentral:rRNA from 1 species
AGCGACUUAGGUUUAUCCAAAAACGCUUAUUUUGCUAGUGGCCACCACAAUUUAUUUCAUAACUUUGACCUCAAAUCAGGUAGGACUACCCGCUGAACUUAAGCAUAUCAAUAAGCGGAGGAAAAGAAACCAACAGGGAUUGCCUUAGUAGCGGCGAGUGAAGCGGCAAAAGCUCAAAUUUGAAAUCUGGCUCUUUCAGAGUCCGAGUUGUAAUUUGAAGAAGGUAUCUUUGGGUCUGGCUCUUGUCUAUGUUUCUUGGAACAGAACGUCACAGAGGGUGAGAAUCCCGUGCGAUGAGAUGAUCCAGGCCUAUGUAAAGUUCCUUCGAAGAGUCGAGUUGUUUGGGAAUGCAGCUCUAAGUGGGUGGUAAAUUCCAUCUAAAGCUAAAUAUUGGCGAGAGACCGAUAGCGAACAAGUACAGUGAUGGAAAGAUGAAAAGAACUUUGAAAAGAGAGUGAAAAAGUACGUGAAAUUGUUGAAAGGGAAGGGCUUGAGAUCAGACUUGGUAUUUUGUAUGUUACUUCUUCGGGGGUGGCCUCUACAGUUUAUCGGGCCAGCAUCAGUUUGGGCGGUAGGAGAAUUGCGUUGGAAUGUGGCACGGCUUCGGUUGUGUGUUAUAGCCUUCGUCGAUACUGCCAGCCUAGACUGAGGACUGCGGUUUAUACCUAGGAUGUUGGCAUAAUGAUCUUAAGUCGCCCGCCUUGAAACACCGGACCAAGGGAGUCUAUCGUCUAUGCCAAGUGU